AAAGUCGUAACAAGGUUUCCGUAGGUGAACCUGCGGAAGGAUCAUUACCUUUGGCUGCCGUGAGCGCUUCGGCGUGAGCGACGGUCAUUCUAGCGACGCCUCUGCGUCCGGGAAACCGGCGCGGGGCCGACCUAACCCUUCUCUACGAGUACCUAUUAUUCUCCUUCGGCGGGGUCUACCCGCCGCUGGAACUUCAAGAACCAACUUGCAUUUAGCAUUACCUGUUCUGAUAACAAUCAAUUAUUACAACUUUCAACAAUGGAUCUCUUGGCUCUG
rnacentral:misc_RNA from 1 species